rnacentral:rRNA from 1 species
AGGACGAACGCUUGCGACGUGCCUAAGAAAUGCAAGUCGAGCGAGGUAGCAAUACCUAGCGGCGAACGGUCGCGUAACACGUAAGCAACCUGCCCCAAAGACCGGGACAACGUUUCGAAAGGAGCGCUAAUACCGGAUGUGCCCACUUGGCGACAUCGCUUUGUGAGUAAAUCGAGCAAUCGGCUUUGGGAGGGCUUGCGGCCUAUUAGCUAGUUGGUGGGGUAACGGCCCACCAAGGCGGUGAUCCGUAGCUGGUCUGAGAGGAUGAUCAGCCACACUGGGACUGAGACACGGCCCAGACUCCUACGGGAGGCAGCAGUGGGGAAUAUUGGACAAUGGGCGCAAGCCUGAUCCAGCAAUGCCGCGUGAGUGAUGAAGGCCUUAGGGUUGUAAAGCUCUUUCGCCCGCGACGAUGAUGACGGUAGCGGGAGAAGAAGCCCCGGCUAACUUCGUGCCAGCAGCCGCGGU